GACGAACGCUGGCGGCGUGCUUAACACAUGCAAGUCGAACGGUAAGGCCCUUCGGGGUACACGAGUGGCGAACGGGUGAGUAACACGUGGGUGAUCUGCCCUGCACUUCGGGAUAAGCCUGGGAAACUGGGUCUAAUACCGGAUAGGACCACUGCCUGCAUGGGUGGUGGUGGAAAGCUUUUGCGGUGUGGGAUGGGCCCGCGGCCUAUCAGCUUGUUGGUGGGGUGAUGGCCUACCAAGGCGACGACGGGUAGCCGGCCUGAGAGGGUGACCGGCCACACUGGGACGGAGAUACGGCCCAGACUCCUACGGGAGGCAGCAGUGGGGAAUAUUGGACAAUGGGCGGAAGCCGGAUGCAGCGACGCCGCGUGAGGGAUGACGGCCUUCGGGUCGUAAACCUCUUUCAGCACCGACGAAGCGCAAGUGACGGUAGGUGCAGAAGAAGGACCGGCCAACUACGUGCCAGCAGCCGCCGUAA
rnacentral:rRNA from 1 species